CAGAAGCCAGCACAAUCUUUCCAAACUCUCAGAUUAAGGAGGUGAUGUUUUUUGAUACUGGAAAUUAUGGCUGUUAUAGUUUCUGGAGUCCCACAUUUUUCAAAGAGAUAACAUUAAUAUGUGAAGGAGAAGUUGGAUGAUGAGAUGCAUAGUAACCACUGCAAAGAGACAAAAAUGUUUAAUAAAUUCUGGCCCCUUUCUUCAAAACCCAUUAAAAGUAUACUUAUGGAAAUUUUGUCAUAAAGAAUAGAACACUAGGCUUCAAGGUUAGAAUGUUCAACAACUAGGAAUUCCUUGUGACCUGACCAGCUAACACUGGGCCUAGAUGACAGGAGGAGAAAAACUAUGGAUUCCAUGAAAGUUAAUAAAGAUUAGACUUGACCAGAAGAGACCUUCUGAAAAUCUUGGCUGCAGACUGAAGGAAGAAACCAAGAAGAACAACAAAACAGGGAUGUUCUUGCGACAUUGAACCUAUUCACGCAGAACUCAACGUGAUAAAUAUCAAGCCACACAGUUCACAUUUACUGAUGAAAGAUUAUAUACAGUCAAUCAGAAGACCUUCUCUGACCUUGAAUUCUAAAAUAAAUGUGUCAUCAAAGAUAAAGUAUAUUAAAUAGCAAAAUAGAAAAUGAAAUUAAGGAAAACUUUGAAAGCAAAUGUGUUCUAUGUAUUAUUCCUUACAAUGUUCUUUAGCCAGGAAAAUGAGAAAAUACAGGUCCACAACAAAAAUUGUUAGUGAUUGCUGACUGGAAUGGAUCAAAUGAAAUUAGUGGAUCUAGUACUUCAGGAAUGCACCUUUGAAUUUUUAUACAUAGAUAGAAUGACAAAAGUACUUUAUGAUGAGAAACUAUCAUUUUCUUUAGAACCUUCUUGGAUAAUAGCUUUAAAGUUAGAUUUUUGCAAAACAAGGUGGUAAAAGAUAAUCAGCAGAGUAAAUAUCUCCAUAAGUUGUAUAAAAUAUUUAUAGUCCCUAUUAUAAACAGAAGUAGGGUGGUUAGGUUAGAUGAAUAACCCAACUAACACAGAGGAAAAUCACAUAAAAGAAUUGAGAGGAAGGACUGAAGACUG
rnacentral:sRNA from 1 species